rnacentral:rRNA from 1 species
UGGGGAAUAUUGCACAAUGGGCGCAAGCCUGAUGCAGCCAUGCCGCGUGUAUGAAGAAGGCCUUCGGGUUGUAAAGUACUUUCAGCGGGGAGGAAGGGAGUAAAUUUAAUACCUUUGCUCAUUGACGUUACCCGCAGAAGAAGCACCGGCUAACUCCGUGCCAGCAGCCGCGGUAAUACGGAGGGUGCAAGCGUUAAUCGGAAUUACUGGGCGUAAAGCGCACGCAGGCGGUUUGUUAAGUCAGAUGUGAAAUCCCCGGGCUCAACCUGGGAACUGCAUCUGAUACUGGCAAGCUGGAGUCUCGUAGAGGGGGGUAGAAUUCCAGGUGUAGCGGUGGAAUGCGUAGAGAUCUGGAGGAAUACCGGUGGCGAAGGCGGCCCCCUGGACGAAGACUGACGCUCAGGUGCGAAAGCGUGGGGAGCAAACAGG